rnacentral:lncRNA from 1 species
GCAGCGCGCGCCUGCCGACCGGGCACGCGCGUCCCGGCACGGGCCUGCGUCCCUGUGUCCGUGCAUCCCACGCACGCGGCCCCUCUCCUUGGGCACGAGCGCUCCGUGCACGUGCAGCCCCUGUGUGCAGCCCCCUCUCCCUUCGUGCAUGCAUCCCUUGCACGCGCGGCCCGCUCCCCCCGUGCACGCGCACCCCCUGCACGCAGCCCCCUUGCCCUGUGUGCACGUUAGCCCCUUUUCCCUGUGCACACGCGUCCUGCGCACGCGCACCCCGUGCACGCAGCCCCCUUGCCCCGUGUGCACGUUAGCCCCUUUUCCCCGUGCACACGCGUCCUGUGCAUGCGCACCCCGUGCACGCAGCCCCCUUGCCCUGUGCGCAUGCAUCCUGUGCGCAUGCAGCCCUCUCUCCCCAUGCACAUGCAGCUCUCUUGCUGUGUGCGCACGUCCUGUGCGCUCACACCUCGUGCAUGCAGCCCCGUUUCCCUGUGCCUCGUGCACCUCGUGCACCUUUCCCCGUGCACACGGCUGCAUCCCAGGGCCAAGCMCCCCCUGUUUGCACCCUGAGCACGUCACGGGUGGGCCUCCCUUGCACUGAAUCGGGCCCUUGCACGUGCACCGUGACACUGUCACGGCAGCCCCUGGGGGAACUGCGGCCGCCUCCCGCCGGGGUGCCCGGGACCAGGGGACGCGGGGACGGUCCCGGGGGUUUUCGGAGGUGCGGGGACAAGGGAGAGCGUCCCGCCCUGCGCCGAGCCCUCCCGUCUCUGCAGCCGGCAGAUAAAGCCCAGACAAUGUUGGUGCGGGCGAUAGCCGCAACGGCUGCCGGGCUGCCACCGCCGUCCCCUCCGCGUCCCCAUCACCGGAGGGGGGGGGGUCCAGUGGGCGCCCCCGGCGCUGACGCCCGGCUCCCUGCCCUGCCGCAGGUGGGUGCGCGAGUUCCUCAACGACGAGAACAAGGGCCUGGACGUGCUGGUGAACUACCUGUCCUUCGCCCAGUGCGCCGUCAUGGCCUGGAAGGCGGCGAGGACGGCGCGCUAGAGAAGCCGAAGCCCUGGAGCAGAUCCAUUGAGGAUCUGCAGCACCCCAGCGCCCUGCCUGCCCCCUUCGCCAGCAGCCUGGCC